rnacentral:rRNA from 1 species
UACGUAGGGGGCAAGCGUUGCCCGGAUUUAUUGGGCGUAAAGAGCGUGUAGGUGGCCAGAUAGGUCCGUUGUGAAAACUCGAGGCUCAACCUCGAGACGCCGAUGGAAACCAUUUGGCUAGAGUCCGGAAGAGGAGAGUGGAAUUCCUGGUGUAGCGGUGAAAUGCGCAGAUAUCAGGAAGAACACCCGUGGCUAAGGCGGCUCUCUAGUACGGUACUGACGCUGAGACGCGAGAGCGUGGGGAGCGAACAGG